CCAGCUCAUUAAGGAGAUUAACCUGCGCUUUUGAACUCCGUGCGAUUGGAACGAGACAUAAUUGACGCCUGCUCGUUUUGGUUUGUGGAAAGAAAGAAGGAAAAGAAGAGGGGGGGAGAAAAAAGGAUUCGGCGCCAAAAUGACAAGUUGCAAGCCUGUUAGCUGAAAGAUAGCUCCCCACAUCAUUGUAGCCUGGAGCACUGGGAGUGCAGAGAAAAAGAAUGUGCUGUUUCCAUGAGCACUGCAACCUGCUGCCAUACUGAGACUGCAAGGGAGAAAAUGCAUUAGAAAGCAUAGAUAAGAGGGCUGCUGGGUAACUCAUUCGGUCAUGCCCCUGUGCUGCGGUGUAUGGAUGAGCCCGACACAGUGAAAUGUCCAGUGUUAAUUCAACACUUAACAGUGUUAAUUCAAAACUGUACCAGAUAAUGACUCUGGUCAGCGUGGGACCAAAUGUUAUCUGUUAGAGUUGCAUUAACACUGGACGUUUUACUGUGCACAGUCUCGGUUCGAAUCCAGCUGGAAUUGUUCAAAUGCUGGAUUGUGCCUCCAUAGGGCGACGGGCAACUGCUGAUCGCAUUGGCCGGUAUUUGGAGGGUUCCAUUAGAUAGGGGUAAGCAUAGAUAAAUAUUUCUUUCCAAAUAAUGUAUAUUAGGUUGAGUAAGAUUAUAUUUGUAUUUAGCUGUGAUGUUUACUGUCAAGAGAAAGGUUUGCUGAAACACUGAAUAAUGCUUGAUUUACCAGAGUUUUAUUGCUAAUUUCUUUUGUUAGAUUUUAUUUUAAAGAAUCUUUAGGGGUGCCAAUAAAAUUGACACCUGUGUUUUUGAGACCUGUGCAAUGUUGACCCCAGUAUGUUUGAGUGUGUCUUAACAGAGAGCAGUUACCAUGGGUCCAUAAUAGAUCAGGUGGGCUGCGGGCUGGGGUUUCUUAUGAAAGGAGUGCAUGAUGGGAGGUCUUACUCUUAUUAAUCUGUGGAGUGUGACAAGCUCAGAUCUCAAUCCGCCGCGUAAUAAUUGACCUUUAGCUGGCUUUAAUGCCGUGAUGAAAACAGCAACGGGGGGUCCUCAGUGUGAGUCCACCUGAGUGGGGACAAAGAGAACGGGCCUGGCGGGCUCGCCUGUAACCAGUCCAAUUAAACACCUCGCUGUGGCACUCUCAUCAUUUGAAAUAAAAACCCUGCCUUUGAA